GAAAGUAAGCAAGGGCAGACGGUGGAUGCCUUGGCUCUCGGAGGCGAUGAAGGACGUGAUAAGCUGCGAUAAGCUUGGGGUAGGUGCAAAUAACCUUUGAUCCCAAGAUUUCCGAAUGGGGCAACCCGGCUGGUAGAAGGCCAGUCAUUCCGUAAGGAAGGCGAACGUGGGGAACUGAAACAUCUAAGUACCCAUAGGAGAAGAAAACAAAAGUGAUUCCGCAAGUAGUGGCGAGCGAACGCGGAACAGCCCAAACCGAUGAUGUUUAGGCAUUGUCGGGGUAGUAGGACCACGUUGUGGCAAGAGAUUAAGGAAGUAGAACGUUUUGGAACAAACGGCCGUAGACGGUGAAAGCCCAGUAUACGACUCUUUAACGAAGCCUAGUGGAAUCCUGAGUAGCGCGGAGCACGAGAAAUUCUGUGUGAAUCAGCGGGGCCCAUCCCGUAAGGCUAAAUACUCCCGAGAGACCGAUAGCGAACCAGUACUGUGAAGGAAAGGUGAAAAGCACCUCGAACAGAGGAGUGAAAUAGUCCCUGAAACCGUCUGCCUACAAGCGGUCGGAGCACAUUAAAGUGUGACGGCGUGCCUUUUGCAUAAUGAACCUACGAGUUACUUUCUCCGGCAAGGUUAAGGGCUUCAGGCCCGGAGCCGAAGCGAAAGCGAGUCUUAAUAGGGCGUGAUAGUCGGAGUGAGUAGACGCGAAACCAAGUGAUCUACCCUUGGUCAGGAUGAAGGUUGGGUAACACCAACUGGAGGUCCGAAUGGGUAUACGUUGAAAAGUGUUCCAAUGAACUGAGGGUAGGGGUGAAAGGCUAAUCAAACUUGGAGAUAGCUCGUACUCCCCGAAAUGCAUUUAGGUGCAGCCUUUAUUUAGUAUAGCAUGAGGUAGAGCGACUGAUUGGAUGCGAGGGCUUCACCGCCUAUCAAGUCCAGAUAAACUCCGAAUGCGUGCUAUAUAUUGAUAAGGAGUGAGGGCGCGGGUGCUAAGGUCCGCGUCCGAGAGGAGAAGAAUCCAGACCAUCAGCUAAGGUCCCCAAAUAACAGUUAAGUUGAACUAACGAAGUCGGACUGCAGAGACAGCUAGGAUGUUGGCUUGGAAGCAGCCAUUCAUUUAAAGAGUGCGUAACAGCUCACUAGUCGAGGAGUCCGGCGUGGAUAAUACUCGGGCAUAAACUGUUUACCGAAGCUAUGGAUGUAGAAAUACAUGGUAGGGGAGCAUUCCAACGGCGUCGAAGGUGAAGGAUGACCUUUGCUGGAGCUUUUGGAAACGCAAAUGUAGGUAUAAGUAACGAUAAAGGAGGUGAGAAACCUCCUCGCCGAAAGACUAAGGUUUCCUGAUCAACGUUAAUCGGAUCAGGGUAAGUCGGGACCUAAGGUUAAGCCGAACGGCGAUACCGAUGGAAGAAUGGUUUAAUAUUCCCAUACUACUUUAUGGAGCGAUGUGGAGACGGAGAAGUGAAAGUCCUGCCAUCUGACGGAAUAGGUGGUUGAAGAGUGUAGAUGUAGAUUCCUGUAGGCAAAUCCGCAGGGAGAGUCGACCUUGACAGUAUGCCGCGUGCUUGCACAAGGCAAAAUGGACGUAAUCAGGCUCCCAAGAAAAUCCGCUAAGCAUAUUCAUAAAGUACCCGUACCGUAAACGGACACACGUAGUUGGGUUGAAAAUACUGAGGCGCUCGAGUGAUUCACGGUUAAGGAACUAGGCAAAUUGACCCUGUAACUUCGGGAUAAAGGGUCCCUACUGAGAGGUAGGGCGCAGAGAAUAGGUCCAGGCAACUGUUUAACAAAAACACAUGGCUGUGCGAAAUAGAAAUAUGAAGUAUACAGCCUGACACCUGCCCGGUGCUGGAAGGUUAAGAGGAGAGCUCAUCGCAAGAGAAGGCUUGAAUUGAAGCCCCAGUAAACGGCGGCCGUAACUAUAACGGUCCUAAGGUAGCGAAAUUCCUUGUCGGGUAAGUUC
rnacentral:rRNA from 1 species